rnacentral:rRNA from 1 species
UACGAAGGGGGCUAGCGUUGUUCGGAAUUACUGGGCGUAAAGCGCACGUAGGCGGAUAUUUAAGUCAGGGGUGAAAUCCCGGGGCUCAGCCCCGGAACUGCCUUUGAUACUGGGUAUCUCGAGUCCGAGAGAGGUGAGUGGAACUCCGAGUGUAGAGGUGAAAUUCGUAGAUAUUCGGAAGAACACCAGUGGCGAAGGCGACUCACUGGCCCGAUACUGACGCUGAGGCGCGAAAGCGUGGGGAGCAAACAGG